rnacentral:rRNA from 1 species
GACGAACGCUGGCGGCGUGCUUAACACAUGCAAGUCGAACGGUAAGGCCCUUCGGGGUACACGAGUGGCGAGCGGGUGAGUAACACGGGGGUGAUCUGCCCUGCACUUCGGGAUAAGCCUGGGAACCUGGGUCUAAUACCGGAUAGGACUACGGACUGCAUGGUCUGGGGGGGAAACCUUUUGUGGUGUGGGAUGGGCCCGCGGCCUAUCAGCUUGUUGGUGGGGUGAUGGCCUACCAAGGCGACGACGGGUAGCCGGCCUGAGAGGGUGACCGGCCACACUGGGACUGAGAUACGGCCCAGACUCCUACGGGAGGCAGCAGUGGGGAAUAUUGCACAAUGGGCGCAAGCCUGAUGCAGCGACGCCGCGUGAGGGAUGACGGCCUUCGGGUUGUAAACCUCUUUCAGCACAGACGAAGCGCAAGUGACGGUAUGUGCAGAAGAAGGACCGGCCAACUACGUGCCAGCAGCCGCAGUAA